CGAUAAGGCAACAAUCAGCCAUCCAAUGACAUCAAUCAAAACAAAUGAAGAUAGGGAAAGGUUGAAAAGAAGCUUACCAACAGCAUCAGGACAAGAUGUCACCAGCAUAGGAUCUGGUAUACAUAAAGCCAUCCAGAUGUUAUCUAGUGAUGGCGGCGACGCCAGUGGGGCGGAAAUAUUGGUAUUGACAAACGGCAGAGAAAUGUUAUCCCCAACUGUAUAUGAUAUCUUACCCAGGUUGCGGAUGUCAGGAGCAACCAUGACAGUUUUAGCUUUACACCAGCUAUCUGACGAUAUUUUAACCCAAGCCGCUCAUUCAUCAGGUGGCCAUUUUUAUUUCGAUACUAAGCACGAGGAGUCGACGACACUGGUUGAUGCGUUGUUCACGAUGAGACAAGACCCAGCCCAGAAUUUCAACAACCCCUCUAUACAGAUCAUGAGUCGAGCUGUGAUGAUUUUAUCUGGUAAAAACGUAAUAGGACAUGUAUCACUUGAUGACGAUGUUGGACGAAAAACUGUAUUCACCAUCAUGUAUUCUAAAACUGAACCCAGUAUAUCACUAAGAUCUCCUUCUGGUCGGAUUUAUCGUAAAAUAUACCCUGAAUAUAAAGCUGACGACGAAUAUAACACAAUAAGAAUAGAGAUACCGGAAAUA